GCCUGUAUAGCUCAGUUGGUUAGAGCAUGGUGCUGAUGAUGGCAAGCUUACAGGUUUGAUCUCUGUAUGGGGA